UGGGGAAUAUUGGACAAUGGGGGGAACCCUGAUCCAGCCAUGCCGCGUGUGUGAAGAAGGCCUUAUGGUUGUAAAGCACUUUAAGCGAGGAGGAGGCUCUUUUGGUUAAUACCCAAGAUGAGUGGACGUUACUCGCAGAAUAAGCACCGGCUAACUCUGUGCCAGCAGCCGCGGUAAUACAGAGGGUGCGAGCGUUAAUCGGAUUUACUGGGCGUAAAGCGUGCGUAGGCGGCUGAUUAAGUCGGAUGUGAAAUCCCUGAGCUUAACUUAGGAAUUGCAUUCGAUACUGGUCAGCUAGAGUAUGGGAGAGGAUGGUAGAAUUCCAGGUGUAGCGGUGAAAUGCGUAGAGAUCUGGAGGAAUACCGAUGGCGAAGGCAGCCAUCUGGCCUAAUACUGACGCUGAGGUACGAAAGCAUGGGGAGCAAACAGG
rnacentral:rRNA from 1 species